ensembl:lncRNA
UGACGUCAGACGUCGGCGUACGUUGGGACGUUCAGUUUGAAUCGUUGUAGACGCCUCCAAGAAGCAGCUGCAGUUUUGGGAAAAAAGUGUUCAAAUAAGUCGCUGUUAUAGAGUUAUAUCCAUCAGGUCAACCGUCUGUAGUUAUUAUUGAAGUCACUGGUGGCGUAUGUGUCGUCACAGACACUUGUUUGUUCGACAAAUAUGAAACACAGAGGCAGAUAUCUGGUACUUCCGGGAAACGCUGGAGCCGCUGUGUUGGAGUUGGCAGUAGCAGCAUUGGCAAGAAGGAAACCUUGCAGACGAGCGCUGAGUGGACAUGAGGGCAGCUGAUCAGUGAAGCAGCAGCAGAUGAACAUCCAGGAGAUCAGAGCAUCUGAACAACAUGGCGUCAGGAUUUGCCUGGUGCAGCUGAUGCAGAGAGAAACUCUACAGUCAUUCAUGAGGAUGACAAACCUUCACAUGAGCACUGGAGGACAUUGCCAAAAAGACUGAAAAUUCAGAUUUCUGCACUGUGUCGUGGUGAAGGAGGCCCUGUGGGAACGUCUGCUGGCUGAGGACAUGGUACAGGGGACGUUUGGGUGCCACCCCACUUUGCCAGAAAUUUCUCAAGAACAAAAUAUACUGACAGCAAUGAGGCAUCCAAAAGCUGUGGCAUUUAGUGAGAUGGGGCUAGACUACUCUCACAAAAACUUCACUGAACCCUCCAAGCAAAAAGAGGUCCCUCUCUAUCUCCCCACACAUCCACCAACCACUGGAACACAUCUCCAAAGUUCUGCCGGGCCAGCUCAGCUUCCCCUCAGAAGAAGUGCCGCCACCUGCCAGAUGAAGGAGCCUUUUGAGAGGCAGCUGGCAUCGUGAUUGGACUGUACUUUGGUCUGUUCCAAUCCAGCUUCAGCUCCAGAGACGGCAGGCGGGACGAGUCAACGGAGGCCUGGUGGACGAAGGCAUGCAGCUGAGUACAAUCCAGAAAACAACAGAGGAGGAGUGCAGCAGCCCAGAGCCAGAACAGAGUAGCAUAGUAUAUCUCUUAGAAAACAUCAUAGUAUAGCCUUUGCUAUGAAAAAACACCAUCAUAUACAUUGUAUAUUGUACAAAUAACAAGUCAAAGGAAAGAGACAUACAUUGUAGAAUUGUAGUAAUUGUGGGCUGACUGAUUUACUGAUUAUCAGUAUUUUAUUUUUUACUGAUUUACGGUAAUAAAUACAUUAAAAAAAUGGCGCUACUUUGGCUCUGAACCUUAAUCUACCUGUGGUCGCUCUGUCUUCUGGAGUGAUUUGAUUGGUUAUACAUCGUGAAUAAAACUCCUUUAACUUAACAUCUGUAAACAAAACAAAAACAUAUCAACAAAGUUUUCUGUUAGAGUUUGUGUUCUUCUAAGUUUAACUCCAAGAUUUUAAAUACUUUCAUUUACUGUAAAUGAAUAUCCACUCCAAAUGUCUCACUAAUAAUCAUUAUCAGCCUUAAAAACCCACAAAACACCCCUCUAUACUCGACCACACUUAGUACAGUCCGGUUCCCCCUUCUAUAAAUCUGCUUGGAAUCUUCCACUUCCUGUUUGUCAAAGUGGCCUUCUACCUGGACAGGUUUUGUUGGAGCUCAUGCAGCAAACAUUUUGGGUAACUGCACUUUAAUAUGGAUGGAUGACACUGAAUUAGAGUCUGUUUUAAUGAGACUGAGUUAAGAUGUGUAGCUCUGUCAUUAAAUAGGAAAUUAUUUCUCAGAAUUUACAGAGAAAAGUCUGAAAUGUUUGCUAGGUUAGCGUCCCACAUGUUCUUUGGCUCAGCUAAAGCUAACUCUCUCCAACUUCUGGAUCUCUUGAGUUGCUUGUUGUUAAAAUAUCUUGCUAGAGGUGCUGAAGCUCAGAAAGUCUGAGAUGUUUGUUCAAAAUAAGCUCAUUCUCAAGUCUUAUCUGAACUGUCCUCUUUUGUUUGAACUUUCCCUAAACUUAGGAGUUAAUGACAGAGCAGCACAUCCAGACUCAGUCUCAUUUAUGUAGAGAUUAAACUUCAGUGUCAUUCAUUGAUGUUAAAGUGCAGUUUUUCAAAUGUUUGUUGCACAUGCUCCCGACCAAACCAGUCCAGGUGGAAGACGAUGUGAAGAGAAAGCUCCAAAGGAUGAAUAUCACACAUUUACGUUGGAAAUAAAUGUCCUUUAAUUAGACAUUGUCAUGGAAAAGUUGGAUUUCCCUUUAAUGAUGUUCAAAUCUUUGAGUGUUUUGUUGAUGUUGGUUUCUAAAUGUUUUCUGACACUCGGCCCCAAAGAUUAAAACCUUCUACGGCUCACAAGCUGCAACAAUUCACACAUUAUCAACUAUCUCUCUGACUAAACUAAGAUAAAAAGUGAAAAACUGCCUGAUUCCUGCAUCAUCAACAUUUUAUAAACCAAAACAAGAAAUGAAUUACUGGAGAAAACAAUCAACAGAUUAAUGGACAAAGAAAAUGUGUUUUCUAACAUAUAUGGCUGAAUUACUCCAACAUUACAAGAUACAUACAAUUUUAAUUCAAUUUUAUUCAUAUAACGCCAAUUACAGGUCAAAUUGUCUCAAGAUGCUUUAGUUCUAUAUUUUUUGUCAUAUUUAAAAUAUGACAAAGUAAGAAAUUAAAACCUCUUGACUAAUCCAAUUUAUUAUUUGUUUUUUAAGAGACUAAUGGACAAUUAAAAUAACUUUCUCCACUAAAACUAAUAAACGAGGUCAAAUAGAAGGAACAGUUUUAAAUACUGCAGUCCCACGACGACAAGAAUAAAGUUUCUCAACAAAAACUAAAUCUGCUGGUGGAUUCCAUUAAAGUCCUAAUGAAUGAUAAUAAAGUGUGAUACUAAAGGUUUGUGGUGCUAAAAAUCUCCAAGUAAAGAUAUCAAGUUGAACAUCUGGAUGGAGGGUGAUAAAAGUUGACCUCCCUUCAUUUCUCUGGAGCCGACUCCAUGGAUUUUAUGGAUGGUGGUUAAAGACCUGCUCUUAUAGUCAUCUUCCUUCUAGUCGCUGUAAAAAGUCAUUCCAUCCUGGCCGACUUCAACACCUCUUCAUGACAACUUGUUCUGCCUCCGACCUGGUGGAAACUCCAGAAACUCGAGAAAACCCGUGGAGACUCGAAGAACUCGUGGAGACUCGAAGAACUCGUCGGGCGGGGGAAGGUGUGGUGGG